rnacentral:rRNA from 1 species
CCUACGGGGAGCAGCAGUGGGGAAUAUUGGACAAUGGGCGAAAGCCUGAUCCAGCCAUGCCGCGUGUGUGAAGAAGGCCUUCGGGUUGUAAAGCACUUUCAGUGGGGAAGAAAGCCUUGGGGCUAAUACCCUCGAGGAAGGACAUCACCCACAGAAGAAGCACCGGCUAACUCCGUGCCAGCAGCCGCGGUAAUACGGAUGGUGCGAGCGUUAAUCGGAAUUACUGGGCGUAAAGCGCGCGUAGGCGGUCUGAUAAGCCGGUUGUGAAAGCCCCGGGCUCAACCUGGGAACGGCAUCCGGAACUGUCAGGCUAGAGUGCAGGAGAGGAAGGUAGAAUUCCCGGUGUAGCGGUGAAAUGCGUAGAGAUCGGGAGGAAUACCAGUGGCGAAGGCGGCCUUCUGGACUGACACUGACGCUGAGGUGCGAAAGCGUGGGUAGCAAACAGGAUUAGAUACCCCAGUAGUC